GGGCUAAACUCAGGGGCAAGCCCAAGCUAAGGGCUGUCAGAGCGGGAUGUGUGUGGGAAUGCCCGCUCCAGAGCAAGCCAGGGUCCGGGGUUAACUCGCCCCGACGCCCGCACCUCACCACAGCACAUCUUACCUUUAACCAGGAAAAGCCGGUCAUCCGCGGACCCCGGAGCCUCCAGCCCAGAGGCCGGCUGCCCAGUUCCAGCGCCUGCUGUCUCCAUGUUUAGGUCGCCUGUAGUGCGUCCGUGCCCAACUGGGCCCGGGUGGAAGCGAGAACGAGGCGGAGGAGAAAGGUUCCGUUGCCGCCUCCUCCUGUGCAAUCUGAAGAAGGGUCCGGAGUGCGGACGCUGUCCCCAAACCCUCCUCCCGCGCCGGGGCCGGGAAGACGUGCUGUGCCCAUCCCCAGGGGCGAUGCCCUCCAAGGCCGACUCUUAGGGAGGAUCUUUUGAUUUCUCCAAGGAGAUCAUUGCUGGACUUAAGUGAUUACUUUGGCUGUUUGAAAGAACUGUCAGCCCCGACUGUAGGAGGCAGUGAGGGUCGCAGAUUGCGCCAAGAUUCCAGGCCCCGCCUGUGAGACCCUGGAGCUCAUUUUCCUAAUCAAACUUACAUUGUGUCCAACGAUUUGGCCAGCGCUAACACUCCACGAUUCUAAAACACAGGCCUCGGUCUUCUGUGUGUACUUUUCUAGAUAACUUCCUAACAGUGUUGAGGAAAGUGUAAGUGACAGGCUUUCUCCCUGGAGGAGAGCCAGCCGCCCGGCUCUGCGGUGACGGGUACCCUCGCCGCGGUGUGAGUGCUCGGCCUCCCUCGGGAAGUGGAACACUCACAGGAUGACCGAAUGAAGGUACCACCCCCGAGAGGAGAGCGACGCCCGCUGGAAGGGCUUGCAGAGCUGCCGGGAACGCUGACCGCUAGCAAGCUUGGUCUUCCGCUGGGAAGCUGGUUUGCCCAUUCUGUAAAUGGCCAUGGAGAGGAGGAGGCUAGUGGUGAUAGAAAAUCUUUUCAGCCUCUCCGAGAACAAUGACAUCUUGUAAAAUAAGGCGGUCUCUCUGCUAUUUGUCCUGCCCCGCAUCGCUGGAGGGCAUGAGCUUCCUGAGGAUGGAGAUGCGACUCUAUGUUCAGUUUAUAUCCCCCAGCUUUCAGGACACCCAGUUCGGUACUUUGGGCACAAUUUGAUUAACUGCACUGCUCUAAGAAUUCCACAAUUCCACCUAGACUUGUUACUAGAGGAAGAUAUGACACAAGCUCCAAACAGGUUUUCAGGGUAACUCAUCAAACUGUCCAGCAGGAUACCCAGCGAUAACAUUCUUGGAAAGCAAGGGAAUGACAGCAAGAUGCAUUAUGUCACACGGAGAAGCUCUAGGCUGGUGUGAGAGCCCACGUGGUAUCUGCACCCUCCAGUUUGCUGCUCUCAGCCUCUUGAAUUCUUCCCAAUAUCUGCUCUGAAUCCCCAGAGCUACAGCUCCUUCAAAAUGGCAUUAGUACGAUCAAUAGAAUUGGUAAGUAUGGUAAUAACUCCUCUUGAGUGAGCUGAAACUAGCUUGAGUCCAAAGCUUGAGUCUCAUUACUCAUUUCCGGUAUCUCAUUACUUAUCUUUUAGAAUCAUAUUCUGUAACUGCCUCAGGUUGAAUAAUACGUCUGUCUUUAUCACAGUAAAUGAGAGUUGCCAUUAUAUAUUCCUCCAUUCAAUUUUUCUUAUUGUAGAGUAUAUCUUUCCUAUCUCUUUCUGUGCUAUCAGUUGAAUUGUUAUCGUUAAUGAUAGACUAGAAAUCUUUUCAAGAGCUGUUAUAUUUCAUAAGCCACUAGAUAUUAUCUUAUAAAAGAGUGAUGCAUAUAAUUUCCUUUAACUAUGUUUCUCUAUCUUCUUGUGAGGAUCAAAUAGGAUCACAGAUGUUCAAGCAUUUUGUAAACUGUUGAGUACUCUGGCAAUGUAAAGCAUUGUUAUUUUUAGUCCUGUGUGUGUCCCAGUUAUAGAAAAGACUCUUAGCAAUCCCAAAAGCCAAAUAUAUUUCCAUCUAUGCAUUAUCAUUUUGCCAGUAUUUCAUAUACAAGGACAUACGUUACACUCACAUUUACUAUUAAAAUCUGUGAUAUCAAUCACUUGCAUCAUUAAAUGCAUCUUAUGUUUAUUGUAUUUAUUGUU